AGUGAACGCUGGCGGUAGGCCUAACACAUGCAAGCCGAACGGCAGCACAGGAGAGCUUGCUCUCUGGGUGGCGAGUGGCGGACGGGUGAGGAAUACAUCGGAAUCUACCUUUUCGUGGGGGAUAACGUAGGGAAACUUACGCUAAUACCGCAUACGACCUACGGGUGAAAGUGGGGGACCGCAAGGCCUCACGCGAUUAGAUGAGCCGAUGUCCGAUUAGCUAGUUGGCGGGGUAAUGGCCAACCAAGGCGACGAUCGGUAGCUGGUCUGAGAGGAUGAUCAGCCACACUGGAACUGAGACACGGUCCAGACUCCUACGGGAGGCAGCAGUGGGGAAUAUUGGACAAUGGGCGCAAGCCUGAUCCAGCCAUACCGCGUGGGUGAAGAAGGCCUUCGGGUUGUAAAGCCCUUUUGUUGGGAAAGAAAUCCUGUCGAUUAAUACUCGGUGGGGAUGACGGUACCCAAAGAAUAAGCACCGGCUAACUUCGUGCCAGCCGCCGCGGUAAAAC
rnacentral:rRNA from 1 species